GGACUACUGGGGUUUCUAAUCCUGUUUGCUCCCCACGCUUUCGCGCCUCAGCGUCAGUAUCGGUCCAGAGAGCCGCCUUCGCCACCGGUGUUCUUCCCAAUAUCUACGAAUUUCACCUCUACACUGGGAAUUCCACUCUCCUCUCCCGAACUCUAGUCCCGCCGUUUCGAGCGCAGUUCCCAGGUUGAGCCCGGGGCUUUCACACUCGACAAACAGGACCGCCUGCGCGCCCUUUACGCCCAGUAAAUCCGAACAACGCUCGCCCCCUUCGUAUUACCGCGGCGGCUGGCAC
rnacentral:rRNA from 1 species